rnacentral:rRNA from 1 species
UACGUAGGGGGCAAGCGUUGUCCGGAAUCAUUGGGCGUAAAGCGCGUGUAGGCGGCCAGAAAAGUCCGCUGUGAAAACUCGAGGCUCAACUUCGAGCUGUCGGUGGAAACUUUCUGGCUAGAGUCCGGAAGAGGAGGAUGGAAUUCCUGGUGUAGCGGUGAAAUGCGCAGAUAUCAGGAAGAACACCCGUGGCGAAGGCGGUUCUCUGGGACGGUACUGACGCUGAGACGCGAAAGCGUGGGGAGCGAACAGG